GACGAACGCUGGCGGCAUGCCUAAUACAUGCAAGUCGAGCGAACAGAUGAAGUGCUUGCACUUCUGACGUUAGCGGCGAACGGGUGAGUAACACGUAAGGAAUCUACCUAUAAGCGGGGGAUAACAUUCGGAAACGGGUGCUAAUACCGCAUAAUAUCUUCUUCCGCAUGGAAGAAGAUUGAAAGACGGCUCUGCUGUCACUUAUAGAUGACCUUGCGGUGCAUUAGUUAGUUGGUCGGGUAAUGGCCUACCAAGACAAUGAUGCAUAGCCGACCUGAGAGGGUGAUCGGCCACAUUGGGACUGAGACACGGCCCAAACUCCUACGGGAGGCAGCAGUAGGGAAUCUUCCGCAAUGGGCGAAAGCCUGACGGAGCAAUGCCGCGUGAGUGAAGAAGGCCUUCGGGUCGUAAAACUCUGUUAUAAGAGAAGAACAAAUUGUAGAGUAACUGCUACAGUCUUGACGGUAUCUUAUCAGAAAGCCACGGCUAACUACGUGCCAGCCGCCGCGGUAA
rnacentral:rRNA from 1 species